AUCGCACGAAUCAGAGGCAGUGCUCUCGACCGAUCACUUCCGAGGACAUUCUAACCUUUGUGUGACAUGUACAGCGACAGGCAAGCUGUCAUUCAUUCGGGAACUAUACGACUAUUCUACGCUAAAAGCUUAGAAUAUAGCAUCGAACCCUAGUUGUCCGUGUAAUGGAACGCGUCUGGACGACGUCUGUGCGACGUGACGCCAUCUCGCGAGGACAACAGAAAACUGAGAAAAACAAACAGGAUUGUGAUUUCCUUAACUUUUUUCUUGUACCUACGUAUUUAUGAAAAACAACGUGGCUUAAUUAAGCGUAAAAAAAAGCGUCUACUUGUGCGCAGACGACCAUACGGGAAAGAUCCGAGCUGUCCGAGAAUUCCGCUGAGCCGCCGUCUUGUUUGUACGGCAAAGUAGCCUGCGUGGUAUUUGUCUCCGACGCUGUCUUCGCGAAGCUGUCUAUUUCGCUGGCUACGUAAUAACUGGAAUGUGACUUAAGAUGGCCGCUGUCCAGGCACCUGUCUAUUUACCAUCUACAGUGAGUAUUGGAGCACACCCGAUACAACAUUGCUUUUGGUAGAUAUGCUACUGCCUUCGUCACAUCCGCUUCCACUAGAAUAGCCAAUAAGUACGAACUACGAUUUUGUAAUUACAGAAGUGAUCGGUCGAGAAGAAAGGUUCUGGAAUGACUGCCGCCAC